GGAGAGGUGGCCGAGCUGGCUGAAGGCGCUCGCCUGCUAAGCGAGUGUGUGGGCUAAAACCUGCACCGAGGGUUCGAAUCCCUCCCUCUCCG
rnacentral:tRNA from 1 species